rnacentral:rRNA from 1 species
CCUACGGGGGGCUGCAGUGGGGAAUAUUGGACAAUGGGCGAAAGCCUGAUCCAGCCAUGCCGCGUGUGUGAAGAAGGCCUUCGGGUUGUAAAGCACUUUCAGUGGGGAAGAAAGCCUUGGGGCUAAUACCCUCGAGGAAGGACAUCACCCACAGAAGAAGCACCGGCUAACUCCGUGCCAGCAGCCGCGGUAAUACGGAGGGUGCGAGCGUUAAUCGGAAUUACUGGGCGUAAAGCGCGCGUAGGCGGUCUGAUAAGCCGGUUGUGAAAGCCCCGGGCUCAACCUGGGAACGGCAUCCGGAACUGUCAGGCUAGAGUGCAGGAGAGGAAGGUAGAAUUCCCGGUGUAGCGGUGAAAUGCGUAGAGAUCGGGAGGAAUACCAGUGGCGAAGGCGGCCUUCUGGACUGACACUGACGCAGAGGUGCGAAAGCGUGGGUAGCAAACAGGAUUAGAUACCCCAGUAGUC